AUUGCAUGAUCUGGUGUGAAAAACUCCGGUGGUAUAAGAUGGACCCGCGUCUGAUUAGCUGGUUGGUGAGGUAACGGCCCACCAAGGCGACGAUCAGUAGCCGACCUGAGAGGGUGACCGGCCACAUUGGGACUGAGACACGGCCCAAACUCCUACGGGAGGCAGCAGUGGGGAAUAUUGCACAAUGGGGGAAACCCUGAUGCAGCGACGCCGCGUGAGCGAAGAAGUAUUUCGGUAUGUAAAGCUCUAUCAGCAGGGAAGAAAAAAAUGACGGUACCUGACUAAGAAGCCCCGGCUAACUACGUGCCAGCAGCCGCGGUAAUACGUAGGGGGCAAGCGUUAUCCGGAUUUACUGGGUGUAAAGGGAGCGCAGGCGGUGCGGCAAGUCUGAUGUGAAAGCCCGGGGCUCAACCCCGGGACUGCAUUGGAACCUGUCGUACUUGAGUAUCGGAGAGGUAAGUGGAAUUCCUAGUGUAGCGGUGAAAUGCGUAGAUAUUAGGAGGAACACCAGUGGCGAAGGCGGCUUACUGGACGAUAACUGACGCUGAGGCUCGAAAGCGUGGGGAGCAAACAGGAUUAGAUACCCUGGUAGUCCACGCCGUA
rnacentral:rRNA from 1 species